GUUAUAUAUUUUAAGAAAUGUUCUUUAAUGAAAGCUGAGUUAGGGUAUCCUUUAACUUUUGAAAACAUUUUGCAUAGUUUUUGGAUAAAUUUAUUCUUUGUUGUUUUGGGGAGUAUAACACGUGAGCCCUUACUCAGUAGUUAUACACUGGUGUUCUUUGCUCCCAGCCAUCUCCAGUAGAGAAGUACUCCGUUCUUCACACGGCAGUUUAUAGAGCAACAACAGAAACAAACCACACAGCAGAAAUAAAUGAAGAAGGUGGUGUGUGUUCUAGUAAAGUACUCUCAAAAAAACAUAAGGAGGAAAGAGAAGAAUCUGUUUGUCAGCCCACGGGAGGGUCUGACCAUGAGGCAAUGGAGCUGAAGAGGAGCAUAGUGAAAGUGGCAUCCACAACCUCCGAGGACAAUAGCGGUACAUCACCUUCUUCAACUCUAUAUGGUAAAGUCCAUAAAAUGACAGAAACGUGCAGUAGUAAUAAGUAUGACUUUCUUUCCUUAUCG
rnacentral:lncRNA from 1 species